rnacentral:rRNA from 1 species
CCUACGGGCGGCUGCAGUGGGGAAUCUUGCGCAAUGGGCGAAAGCCUGACGCAGCAACGCCGCGUGAGCGAUGAAGGCCUUCGGGUUGUAAAGCUCUGUGGAGGGGGACGAAUAAGUGCCGGCUAAUAUCCGGCGCGAUGACGGUACCCCUUUAGCAAGCACCGGCUAACUCUGUGCCAGCAGCCGCGGUAAGACAGAGGGUGCAAACGUUGGUCGGAAUUACUGGGCGUAAGGCUGGAGUAGGCUGCGUGAAAGCCCUGGGCUCAACCCAGGAAGUGCACUCGAAACUUCCAAGCUGGAGUCCUGGAGAGGAAGGCGGAAUUCUCGGUGUAGAGGUGAAAUUCGUAGAUAUCGAGAGGAACACCGGUGGCGAAGGCGGCCUUCUGGACAGUGACUGACGCUAAGACGCGAAAGCGUGGGGAGCAAACAGGAUUAGAUACCCCUGUAGUC